GAUGAACGCUGACAGAAUGCUUAACACAUGCAAGUCAACCCGAGAGUACUUCGGUACUGAUAGGGUGGCGCACGGGUGAGUAACACGUGAAUAACCUGCCCUCAAGACUGGGACAACUACUCGAAAGGGUAGCUAAUACCGGAUAAGCUCACGACACCACAUGGUGUAGGGAGAAAAGCUAUAUGCACUUGAGGAGGGGUUCGCGUCCCAUUAGCUAGUUGGUGAGGUAAAGGCUCACCAAGGCGACGAUGGGUAGCCGGCCUGAGAGGGUGGACGGCCACAAGGGAACUGAGACACGGUCCUUACUCCUACGGGAGGCAGCAGUGGGGAAUAUUGGACAAUGGGCCACGAGCCUGAUCCAGCAAUUCUGUGUGGGUGAUGACGGUCUUAGGAUUGUAAAGCCCUUUCAGUGGGGAAGAAGAAAGUGACAGUACCCACAGAAGAAGCCACGGCUAACUACGUGCCAGCAGCCGCGGUAAUGUCUGUAC
rnacentral:rRNA from 1 species